CACCCUGUCCUAAAUUAGUGCUAUGUCAGUCCGUCCCAGAGGAAGGGCUCAAUCCUGCUGAGCCGGGAGCCUAAUGAUGUGACCCUGCGUGUGGCGAGGGGCGAGGGGGUUCCGCAAGAACAGUGAUUACCUAGAAAAUGAAGCCCUGUUGUGCAUUGGCUUCAAAGCUCUGUUUGAAAUGUUGGGGCCUCAUUAGAAGUCACCUGGCCGCAGUCGGGAUACUCGUGAGCUGACAGGCACCCCCGGGCUGAUCUACACGCCCAGUGUGGCCACAAGUAGCCACAACACAGCAGCCACAGCUCAGAGGAUCAUAAGAACACUGUCGUGUUUAUCUGUCCAAAAUCCAGUUUUCAAGACCCAACAGCUAUAGGCCAUGAAAGAGAGAUCAUGGGAAAGGGUGAGGAGGCUGAAAAGGCCCACACAAGCCGCCAUGCCUUUGUCUUCCUGAAAUCCGAAGGCAAGAGGCGACUUUCUUUCUCUCUGCUCUCGCGCUCUGUUGCCGUGAACUUCCCCCAGCCAUCCUGGCUGCAUGUGCAUCUCUGUGUUGGAGAAGAGCGGAUUCUCUGUGAGCAAAGAUUUCUCGCUCCUAGGUUUCCUCCACAAUAGUGGGGCCCUGUGCACACAGUAGGCGCUCACGAACUAUUGAACUGACCCAAGGCAAACUGGGUUUCGCUGAGUUGAAUCCUUCGCCUAAUGCCCCCGCUAAGCCCCCAUCGGGAGCUGCCAGCCCCCCUCCCUGGCCAGCUCUGGGGGCUUCACCGUGGAGCCGGCGCUUUUCCUUUCCCAGCUCUCGGGGGAAGUGAGGCCAGGCCGGGCACGGGGGCCAGGGCGCUCUGGGGCGGUAACAGCCUGCUAGGUUCUAUAUUUGUCCGCGGCUGGAAAGAGGAAAUGAAGCAUCAGCACUGCGUCUCAGCUGCGGGUCAGCUGGAGCCGCCAAGGAGGAUGUGGGUAUGAAGCAGCUGCAUUUUGGUGGCCCCAGAGCCCCCCUGCACGCCAUCCGCCUCAUUUACACACUCGUGAUCCACUCACGAUGCCUCCUGAGAGCCUCCUCAACAGGGCUUCCGCCAGUUCCACCGAGGACUUUAUAUUUCAAUUCCGAGCGACCCUUCCCUGCCAAAAAGUGAGUUGUGAUUGCUUCAAAAAUACUACAAAACUCAGAACUGGCGCAUGCGAAUGGCUCUAAAUUUAGCCAAUAUUGUUCACCCAACCCGUGCGCACUGCUUCCCUCCCCACCCUUCCCAGCCCUGCCCUGGCCCCGAAGCCGAAGAGAACGGGGGGCCAUUCCCCCUCGCCCGUCCCUGCCGUCCACUCGCUCGUCCAGCGUGAGCACCCUCGGCCCCCGUGGCCGAGCUCCCGGGCCAGCAGCCCCCCUUCUGCGCGCCCCAACGUGUGUCCUCAUCCCCUGACUCUGGGGGCCGCCGAGCGGUGGGUGAGACCCGGGAAGCAUCCGCCUUCCUCACCUGGCAGUCCUAGCACCGCAGUCCCUGGAGGGCUCUGUGGGGGACAGAGUUCUACCCGCUGGAAACUCCUCCCCAAAUGGGCCAUUUGGAAAGCUGAUUUCAUUCUGGGACGAUGGGUGUGGAGGGCCCUGGCCACCGGUCAGCAGCCCCGUGACCUUGCUCCGGACCUCUUCCCCCCCAGACUGCUAUGGCCGCUGCUUUCAUCCUGGGAUCCUCGCCACGUCACGUGUUUGCAUGCAGCAGGUUGACGGUCUCUAAGGGAGCGUCCAAAGGCGUCUGAGCAAGGCGUCUGUGACUCCGGGAAGAGAAGGAUGGCAGGGCCUUAGUCCCUGCAUGCCUGGUGGGCUGAGGCUUUGAAGAGGGAAAAAAGACUCCUGCUCCUCCCGCACGUGCUACCCCCUUCCAGUUAGCUGACAGCUAGUCUGUCCCUGCUUGCUCACCUGACUUCUACUUACUGCGGGCCUCCUCCAGAUGCUCCGACAGCACCUCCGAUGCCACACACCACAGGCUCGCUGAGGGCUGGGUCGUGUCACCACAGCCCCCGAUCUCUGGGCUGCAUUCUUAGACACAGACACUUAACAUUCCGCACGAUGCUGGUAAAUGUUAGUCGGAGCAGGGCACCGGCUGAGCCCAAACUUGCUGCUGUGACGGGCUCAUCACACUCAGGCCUCUUUCUCCUCCAAGGAAUGAACUGUGCAGAGGAGAAGGAGGAAUUGCUUUUCCUGAGCUGAUUGAAGUUUUAAUUUAAAAAAUAAUAAUAAAGGCUAGGAUUUUAUGGAAGCAGGAAUUGGGACAGGAAGUCCAGGAAAGUAACCAGGUUGAGAGAUGAAGAGGUAAAAAAAAAUCCAGAAGCAGCCCGUGGCCACACUCAGGAACCUGGGACCUCCUAUGGAAGAUGUUUCCCGUCCUCAGUCCUCCGUUGUACUGAUGACGCUGGACAGUGCGCUUGUGAAUUUCACGAGGUACUCAUCAGCCGUGCAGAUCCCGGGGCCAGGGUCUGAUGCCCAAGGUCCUGUUGGCCUGUUGUGUGUCUGUUCAUUUCCAGGUGGUCCAGCCAUACAGCCAAGUUUAGACUCAUCUCCGAAACUCAGUCUUGCUGAUUUUUUUCUUCCCAUACUAAUGAAAUGCAAACAUUGGGCUUUUGUUAUUAAGGAAAGCAUUGAAAGCUGAUUAUCAAUUGCAAGGGAAAAAUACCCAGGCUAUUUAAAUACAAGGUUUAUAUGAGUAUCAUCUUGACGUUUAUUUUAUGUGCCAUACGACUAGUUUACGAAAAUUCUACAAGGUUUUAACAAGGCAUUUUAUAUUCAUCAUCAGAUCUUGAAAGGAGAGACCCCCCCCAUACCUAAUUUGUCUCUAAAUCAGCUUUAUUUAUUAGUAGGAAAUGGUGCUUAGGAGCCCCUGGUUUACACCAGCCUCCAAAAUGCUGCUGACUCUCCAUAGCCUGUGAAAGUAUCAAGCCUCCCUAACCUCGUGUGUGUGUGUGUGUGUGUGUGUGUGUGUGUGUGUGUGUGGUGCGGAGCUCUAACAUAACACCUGCAGCCUGGGAGGGAUACUCAAGAUGAGAGAUCACAGGCAGCCCUUUAAUGCCUGUGCUUCACACAUGAUGAAGAGAAUUCCCUUUCAGUUCUGUUAUUUCAGCAGGAAGAGGAAGUGGGGACCCGGUGGCCCUGGACUCUGAGUUCUGCCCCUGGCGCUCAGACCUAAAGCCAAAGAAGAGCCUACAGUUGGCAAGGGGAAGGGGAGAUUUGGGGGAUCACUUUGCCAAGCCGGUGGUGUUUUCCCUCCUGCCUUUCAUCCCAGCUGGAGGCAGUCAGAGCCAAGCUGGAAUGAGUCACACCAAAGAGAAGAAAGUGCUGUCUCCUAUGCCUUGCUAUGCCCCCUGGCCUCCUCUCCUCCAGGAAGGGGGCUGAUGCCCUCACCAUGAAGGAUGUGGACUGGGGACAUAAAGGCAAGGCUGUGACGCUGGGGACAGCAAGUCAGUGUAGUACUCACAACGAAAAGGUUCCUUUGAAGUCAACUCCUAUUGAGUUAAUAUUUUCAAAAGCUAGGACCUCCAAGCUUGCUGGCCUCCCCAGGCCACCCCAAGGCCUGGGGCGGGGAGCGCAGACAAUCAGUCAGAUUCAGUGAGUCUCCAACCUCCUUGAGCCAUGCUCGUCUCUCUCUUGGUGUCUAUAAUUUGGGGUCAGGGGUAGAAAACAUCUUCUUCCAUGGCCACCCCCUCAACUGCCAUCUGCUAAUGGGAUAUACAUCCCCGUGGAAUCAACUUGUUAGAGCAGAGAGCAGGGCCCAUGGCAUGCUACCAUGCGUAGGCAGUGCUCACAGGACAUGGUAAGCUUCUCCCUGAGUUGAAGGAAAAUCGCAUGCAAGGCGCCAUGUUAGAUCUUCCUCCCUUCCUGUUGGUCUAGAGGGUGUGGUGGUAAUAAUGGGUCAGAUUCCCAGAGCUCUGCUGCCCACACUUUAUAACACCUCAAUUAAGGAACCCAUAAUGUCUGAUGAGGAUGCGUGUCAAGUAUCAUGAAGGCUAAAGAGAGCUUUGAGUGUAAUUUUCCACCAAUAAAAUAAGCUGAUUUUGAGACAAAUUAGCUACACAGAGGCCUUCUCUUUUCAAGAUUAAUUAUGAAGGAUAAAAUGUCAUAUUAAAAUGCUAUAGAAUAUUUGUAAACUAGUAGGACAUGUAAAAUGAAUCUCAAAAUAAUG